AGAACAGCUAUUUGCAUUCUGGGUAGUGUGGAUCGUGAAGGAUCUGAAAGACUGUGGCAGAGGAAUGAUUGAUCUAGCUUGCGAAAGGGAAAGGGUGAAUAUGAAGGCCAAGAAAAGCAAAAAUCAACAGCUUUGCCUUUGAUCACUUUACCAACAAGCAUCUGAACUGAACAGAGAGAGAAAGAGGUAGUCUGUGCCUGAGACUCUGGAGUCUGGAUUGUUUCCGAGUUCUAGUGGCACAUCAUGUGUAAAUCAGAGAACUUUCAGCAAAGAAGGGUUUAGUUUCCUCUCGCUUACCCAAGAAGAGACAUGUAAGUGGAAUGUCCCAAUUGCAAAAGAGUUUCUUUUAUACUUUAAAAUACCGGUUUUGUUAAAGCCUCCAUGUAUAGAAUCCAUACUGGGAAACCAACGAAUCUACCAAAUUUCGGGGGAAGUUUGCAGCAAUUAGGGCUGCUUUCUUCCAAGAGGAUAUAUCUUUCUUAGGAA
rnacentral:misc_RNA from 1 species